rnacentral:rRNA from 1 species
GACGAACGCUGGCGGCGUGCUUAACACAUGCAAGUCGAACGGAAAGGCCCUGCUUUUGUGGGGUGCUCGAGUGGCGAACGGGUGAGUAACACGUGAGUAACCUGCCCUUGACUUUGGGAUAACUUCAGGAAACUGGGGCUAAUACCGGAUAGGAGCUCCUGCUGCAUGGUGGGGGUUGGAUAGUUUCGGCGGUUGGGGAUGGACUCGCGGCUUAUCAGCUUGUUGGUUGGGUAGUGGCUUACCAAGGCUUUGACCGGUAGCCGGCCUGAGAGGGUGACCGGCCACGUUGGGACUGAGAUACGGCACAGACUCCUACGGGAGGCAACGGUGGGGAAUAUUGCACAAUGGGCGGAAGCCUGAUGCAGCAACGCCGCGUGCGGGAUGACGGCCUUCGGGUUGUAAACCGCUUUCGCCUGUGACGAAGCGUGAGUGACGGUAAUGGGUAAAGAAGCACCGGCUAACUACGUG